GCAAAGGUGGUCCAGUGGUAGAAUUGCCGCCUGCCACGCGGCAGACCCGGGUUCGAUUCCCGGCCUGUGCA